rnacentral:rRNA from 1 species
AUUGAACGCUGGCGGCAGGCCUAACACAUGCAAGUCGAACGAGUGGCGGACGGGUGAGUAAUGUCUGGGAAACUGCCCGAUGGAGGGGGAUAACUACUGGAAACGGUAGCUAAUACCGCAUACCAUCGGAUGUGCCCCGAUGGGAUUAGCUAGUAGGUGGGGUAACGGCUCAACUAGGCGACGAUCCCUAGCUGGUCUGAGAGGAUGACCGGCCAAACUGGAACUGAGACACGGUCCAAACUCCUACAGGAGGCAGAAGGGAGGAAUAUGGAACAAUAGGAGCAAGCCGGAUGAAGCCAUGCCGCGUGUAUGAAGAAGGCCUUCGGGUUGUAAAGUACUUUCAGCGAGGAGGCGUUACUCGCAGAAGAAGCACCGGCUAACUCCGUGCCAGCCGCCGCGGUAAUAC